AUACUUACCUGGAUGGGGUCAAUGGGUGAUCAAGAAGGCCCAUGGCCUAGGCAAGUGACCUCCAUUGCACUUAGGAGGGGUGCUAGUCUAAGGUCUACCCAAGUGGUGGAGCCUACAUCAUAAUUUGUUGCAGCGGGGGCCUGCGUUCGCGCGGCCCCUUCCAAUAGUAGUAUAAUUUUUAAUUGAAUAAAUAGUUAAUUUAGUUUUUUGAGCUGAAAUAAAUAAUUUUGUAGUUAAGCUUUGUUUUAUUUUGUUAUUUUAGUUGAUUUAAAGAUGGACGAGUGAUGAUAUAGUUUAGGGAUUAAUUUAAUCCUUAUACUA
rnacentral:lncRNA from 1 species